AAAACUACAGGAAGCUUUGGAAC
rnacentral:piRNA from 1 species